GAUCAUGACUCAGGAUGAACGCUGGCGGCGUAGCUUAACACAUGCAAGUCGAACGGAGUUUUAACGGAAGUUUCGGAUGGAAGUUAAGAACUUAGUGGCGGACGGGUGAGUAACGCGUGGGUAACCUGCCUCAUACAGGGGGAUAACAGUUAGAAAUGACUGCUAACACCGCAUAAUAUAGUGAAACCGCAUGAUUUUGCUAUCAAAUAUUUAUAGGUAUGAGAUGGGCCCGCGUCUGAUUAGCUAGUUGGUGGGGUAAAAGCCUACCAAGGCGACGAUCAGUAGCCGGCUUGAGAGAGUGACCGGCCACAUUGGGACUGAGACACGGCCCAAACUCCUACGGGAGGCAGCAGUGGGGAAUAUUGGACAAUGGGGGAAACCCUGAUCCAGCGAACCGCCGCGUGAGUGAAGAAGUAUUUCGGUAUGUAAAGCUCUAUCAGCAGGGAAGAUAAUGACAGUACCUGACUAAGAAGCCCCGGCUAACUACGUGCCAGCCGCUGC
rnacentral:rRNA from 1 species